AUUGGUACGUGCUGUGCAUCGACCAUGUGUCUUCCACUUUCCUUAUUUCAAGAGUUCUCCCCAACUGUCGUUUCAGUGCCCGGUGGCCAUAUUAGUAUGCUGAACGCAAGGUGGCUGCCAUGUUCCUGCGUGGGUCCAUACAAGCCCCCACAGCCAGUGCUCGAGUGCUGUCGAAUAAGUUCGAGCGCCAUCAGGAGACAGGAGUUGAAAUAUUGUUCAGGCAAGACGUCUGGCCUUCAGUGGCUGCUUUGCAACCUCUCGAAUGUCCUCAACCUGCGCAACCUACUACUGUCUUCGUUUGGACCAGGAGAGGAGAGCCCAUCCCCAUAGCAUUUCCCUGCUGGCACUGAACGGGUCUUCCUGGUUGACAUCCUCUCAACCAACACAGCCUCGCCUUUGAAAAGGGGCGGCGACACCUGCACCAUGGACUGCAGAACCAGGAAACACUGACAAGGAGGUGCACCGCCAGCAAUUCAGGGACCACUGAAAUAGCCACCAUUGCUGCGAGCUUCGCUAGCGGCACCAACU
rnacentral:lncRNA from 1 species